UAGUAGAAUGUAUUAAAAAGGAGAGGUAGAUUAAAUAAAUGAACAUUGUUUGAUGUAGAUUUACAAAAUUUCAUUUCACUAUACAUCUAGGUAGACUUAGAAAUAGAUAAGAGGUAGUCGUGUAAAUAUGAUUCAUGUAGUCUACUCCGAGUUUAGUUUAUAUAUUUUGUGUAGGUCAUUUCCUCAAAAGGAUUCCAUGUGUAAUAUCUUUUUUUCUGCGAGUGAAAUUGGGAUUAUCAGUAGCAUUUUAGGGCCAAUGGAUAGUUAAUGAUUUAAUUCCAUAAAAAUCUCUACUAUUUGUUGACAUGUUAAAACACCUUUUGCAUGCAGUACUGUCAAGUUCAUAUUUUAAUAUUUUCUUCGAUAAUAUUCGAUCACUUGGGUAAUUGAGAUGCAAGAAUAUUAAUCAUACUCCAAUUAAGUUGAGAAAUAAUAACUCUAUUAACUACAUGGAACUGAUAGUAAAAGAGAUAGUAAAUGCAAAAACUUUGAUGCAUUUAUAUGUUAUACGCAAUGUCAUAAAAUACCUCAUGGCUUAUUUCCUAUCUUAGGGGAAAAAUAUUUUCUAGUGCGUUCAAUCUUCAUAUAAUGGUGAAGAAGAUAUUGGAUUGCUGUUGAUUUUAAUUGCAUUGUCGUUUGAACAUUCUGAUUGACAUUAUUGGGUAAAAUACUUUAUCAACUCUGCCGUUUAUCCCAAUCCUAAUUGCAUCCCCGAACUAUGAGCUUGAAAUUUCAAUAUAAAGAUUAUAUAAUGCUUCACUUUCGUGGGUUGGUUCAAUUGCUUGGUGUUGCUCAACUAGGCGGGUAGCAUGUUUUAGGACACAGAGGAUCUAUUACAAUGUAAAGUACAUAUUCAUGAAGGAUAAAGGGGAAAAUCUUGUUUCCUUUUUGGUAAAUUUAGGUGAAAGGUGCUAUGGUUUCAUGAUAUUAAGGGUAAAAUAUUUAAUUGCUUUGCUCUGUGCAGGAAGGACCGCAGCAGUUCGUGGAUGGUAGAGCUUUCACGGGAAGUGUAGCUGUUUUAUCAUUUUAUGUGUCCUUUUUCUUAGCAAUGUCUGGUUUGAAACUCAGGCAUUUGUUCAGAAAUCAAAAUAAGUAUCCAUGUUAUUAGUUUCGUACGGAAGAUUUCUCCGUAAAUUGGGCUUUCGAAGCACUUUCAUAAAUUGUGUUAAAGGGAGUUCAGUAUAUCUUGUACUAGAAGAUUUCGUAUUGUGUGAGAUCUUUGUUUGUGUCAAUGACUAAAUUUAAACAAAUAAUUGUUUUAAUCGUUUUAAGGGUUUAAUACAUUGCUAGCGUGGUUUGAAAAUCAAAUGUUUC
rnacentral:lncRNA from 1 species